rnacentral:lncRNA from 1 species
CCCGUUUUCGUUUAAAAUCGCUUAGCAAAAGGUUGUUUAACAUAAUUUCUAGCUUCAUAUUCCACCAUAAAACAGAAAAAUAAACACAUUUCACCUAUGGGUAUUUUUCCAAAUAUGAACCUUAGCACGAAUUAUUGCUAGAAUAAGCUAAAUUAAGCUACUGGGACUCCAAAAACGUAAAGAACAUUAAAAACGGGGCUUGGGAUCACUUACUAUGGAGCUUGGAAGCUUGAAAACCCUAACUAUGGCUUCCCCCUUGCUGAUUUCGUUCACCAUGAAGAAGAUGAGCAUAUUUUGCCAUCUUUUUCCCAUUUAAUUCUUUUUAAUUACCAAAUGACUAAAAUGCCAUUACUUAAAAAAAUCUAUUUCACUAAUUCUAUGCCCAUUUUUGUCCAUCAACUAACUAAUGGUCUAAUUACCACAUAAAGACCUCCAAUUUAAAAUUUCAUAACAAUUAGAUACCUCUAAGAUGUAGAACUCAACUUUUGCACUUUUUACAAUUUAGUCCUUUUGACUAAAUUGAGUGCCCAAACGUCGAAAUUUUCGAACGAAAUUUUUACGAAAAUUUUUCGUGAAAUUGUAGACCAUGAAAAUAUAAUAAUAACCAUAUUUUCUCUCAUCAGAUUUGUGGUCCCGAAACCACUGUUCCGACUAGGCCCAGAGUCGGGCUAUUACAAUUCCCCCUCUUAGGGAUUUUUGUCCCCGAAAAUCUUACCAGAAAAGAGGUUUGGGUACUGUUUCCUCAUAACUUCCUCCGGUUCCCACGUAGCUUCUUCCAUUCCAUGUUUUUGCCACAACACUUUCACUAAGGCUAUACUUUUAUUUCUCAACUGUUUGACCUCUUGAGCCAGAAUCUUUAUCGGUUCCUCCCCAUAAGUCAUAUCUGGUCGAACUUUAAUUUCUGUAGGAGAAACUAUAUGUGAAGGAUCAAAACGAUAGCGUCGCAACAUUGAUACAUGAAAUACAUUAUGUAUCUUUUCUAACUCUGCUGGCAAAGCUAACCGAUAAGCUACAGGUCCAAUUCUUUCAAUAACUUCAUAUGGUCCAAUAAAACGUGGACUCAAUUUGCCUUUACGGCCAAAUCUCAGAAUCUUCUUCCAUGGAGAUACUUUCAAAAACACUCUAUCACCCACUUGAAACUCAAUCUCUUUCCUCUUUAAAUCCGCAUAUGACUUUUGCCGAUCUGAAGCAGCCUUUAAGCAGUCACGGAUUAUUUUCACUUUUUCUUCAGUUUCUUUCACCAAGUCAACUUCGUGAAUCCGGUUCUCACCGAGCUCAGUCCAAUAUAAAGGAGUUCUACACUUACGCCUAUAUAAUGCUUCACACGGUGCCAUUCAUAUACUCGACUGAUAGCUAUUGUUGUAAGCAAAUUCAACCAAUGGUAGAUAUUUCUCCCAACUGCCUUUAAAUUCUAAAAUACAACACCGGAGCAUGUCUUCAAGAACUUGAAUCACUCUUUCCGAUUGCCCGUCAGUUUGCGGAUGAAACGCGGUACUAAAGUUCAAUUUUGUACCCAAAGCUUCCUGCAACUUUAUCCAAAACCUCGAAGUAAAUCUCGGAUCUCUAUCCGAUAUAACGGACUUAGGCACCCCGUGUAAUCUCACUAUUUCAGCAAAAUAUAACUCCGCCAACUUGUCAAGUGAGUAAUCAAUGCGUACAGGAAUGAAUUGGGCUGACUUUGUCAGUCUAUCAACAAUUACCCAAAUAGCAUCCUUCUUCUUUGGAGUCAAAGGCAAUCCUGUCACAAAAUCCAUCGUGAUACUUUCCCACUUCCACUCUGGAAUCAUUACCGGCUGAAGUAAACCCGAUGGUACUUGAUGCUCAGCUUUCACUUGUUGACAAAUUAAACACUUUGAUACAAAUUCCGAGAUAUCCUUUUUCAUGCCCGACCACCAAUACAAUUUCUUCAAAUCAUUAUACAUUUUCACACUACCUGGGUGAACUGACAAAUCACCACUAUGUGCCUCACAUAAAAUGGUCUGAAUUAACUCAUCAUUUCUCGGUACACAUACUCUAUCCCGGAACAUCAGGCAAUCAUCUGCACCAAUUUGAAAAUCUGAGUCAACACCUGCUUCACACUGAGCUCUCUUGGCUUGCAAUUUACUGUCAUUCUUUUGAGCUUCCCGAAUUUGCUGAAGAAAUAACGGUCCAGCUCUCAAUUCAGCCAACAUUGAGCCAUCAUCAAAUAAAGUUAAUCUCGUACCCAUAGCUCUCAAGGCAAAUAAAGAUUUUCUGCUUAAGGCAUCAGCAACCACAUUAGCUUUCCCGGGGUGAUAAUCAAUCACUAAUUCAUAGUCUUUAAUUAGUUCGAGCCAUCUUCUUUGCCGUAAAUUCAAGUCUUUUUGGCUCAUUAAAUACUUCAAGCUCUUAUGAUUAGUGAAGAUUCGACACUUUUCACCAUACAAAUAAUGACGCCAAAUUUUUAAAGCAAAAACAAUUGCAGCCAAUUCUAAAUCAUGCGUCGGAUAAUUCUUCUCGUGCAGUUUCAGCUGUCUUGAAGCAUAAGCUAUUACUUUGCCCUCUUGCAUUAACACACACCCAAGACCAUUCAACGAUGCAUCACUGAAAAUUACAAACUCCUUCCCGGACUCAGGUUGCACCAACACUGGCGCCUCAGUCAAUAAUGCCUUCAACUUCUCAAAACUCUGUUGACAUUUAUCGGUCCAUUCAAACUUGACAUUCUUUUGCAGUAACUUAGUCAUAGGAGAAGCAAUCAUCGAGAAUCCCUUGACAAAGCGUCUAUAAUACCCGGCUAAGCCCAGAAAGCUUCUAACUUCGGAUACAUUCUUUGGUGGUUCCCAAUCAACAAUUCCUGAAAUUUUGCUUGGAUCAACCCGAAUACCUUCACUUGAAACUAUAUGUCCCAAGAAUCCAACCUCACGAAGCCAAAACUCACUUUUGCUGAAUUUAGCAUACAAUUUCUUUUCUCUCAGAAUCUGCAACACAUUCCUCAAAUGUUCUGUAUGCUCGGAUUCAUCCCGUGAAUAAAUUAAAAUAUCAUCUAUGAACACUACCACAAAUUUAUCCAGAUACGGCCGAAAAAUUCGGUUCAUUAAAUCCAUAAAAAUAGCCGGAGCAUUAGUCAACCCAAAAGGCAUUACCAGAAAUUCAUAGUGUCCAUACCUCGUAAAAGCGGUUUUUUGCACAUCGGACUCUUUAACUCUCAACUGAUAGUAACCAGACCUCAGAUCGAUCUUUGAAAACACUGUUGCCCCUUUUAGUUGGUCAAACAAAUCAUCAAUUCUCGGCAAAUGAUACUUGUUCUUUAUAGUCACUUUGUUGAGCUGACGAUAGUCAAUACAAAGUCUCAUAGAGCCGUCCUUCUUUUUCACGAAUAGCACAAGAGCACCCCAAGAAGAAAAACUUGGCCUCACAAAUCCUUUAUCUGUCAAUUCUUGUAGUUGAGCUUUUAAUUCUUUCAAUUCAGUCAGAGCCAUCUGAUACGGAGCAAUAGAAAUCGGUGUAGUAUCCGGUAACAAGUCAAUAGCAAACUCAACUUCUCUAAUCGGAGGUAACCCAAGCAGCUCCUCUGGAAAUACGUCUGAAAAUUCACAAACUACCGGCACUGAUUCAAGCUUCGACCCAGUUAUACCAGUAUUCAACACAUAAGCAAGAUAAGCCUCACAUCCUUUUCUCAUGUAUUUCUGAGCAGAUAUGUGCGAAAUCACCAUAGGUAGUUUAUUCGGCUCCUCUGCCUCAACCCGAAGAAUUUCACCAUUUUCACACUUCAAUUCAAGGAUUUUCUGUCUACAAUUUACCUUGGCAUCAUGCAAUAUCAACCAAUCCAUCCCCAAAAUAACAUCAAACUCAUCAAAUGGUAACAACAUCAAAUUAGCCGGAAAACAGUGACCUCGAAUCAUCAAAGGACAAUUCUUGCAAACCUUAUCGACUAAGACAUAUUUGCCUAAAGGAUUUGAUACUUUAACCACAAAUUCAGUAUUUUCAAUAGGCAAUUUCUUACUAGAUACUAAAUGCACACAUACAUAUGAAUGAGUAGACCUAGGGUCAAUCAAAGCAACAACAUCAAUAUCAUAAAGAGAAAAUGUACCAGUAAUCACGUCGGGAGAUGAUGCAUCCUCACGAGCACGUAUGGCAUAAGUUCUGGCAAGCGCUCUAGUUUCUGAUCUCUCAGCUGUAUCUUUUGCCACACUUUUACCACUGACUUUGCUCCUAGUAUUCCUCGGUGGUCUACCUCUACUAAUAAUAUCACCCGAUCCAGCUCUUUGCAGUCUUUCUUCCUCUAUUCUCUCAGGGCAAUCUUUUUAUAUAGUGCUCUUGAGAACCACACCUGAAACAAGCUCAUUUAAAUCCCCAACACUCACCAGCAUGUCGCCUGCCACACUGUUGACACUUAGGUCUGGUAUUCCCCACAUUGCCUACACUGGCCACUGAGGUAGCUUGAGUUUUAGCUCCAGAAUAUGGUUUCCCUGGAUCUCUACGUGAAUACCCAGUUGUACCAGUUGGUCGUGGAUCCAUCCCUUUAAACUUCUUCGGUUGGGAUUGAAAGGUCCUGCUCAUUGACCUUUUUCUUAUAUCUCGAGCUUCCAUCUCCGCUCUUUUCUUUUCUUUACUCAGUUCUUCAACUUUGCAGGCUCGAUCAACCAAUACUACAAAUUCUUUUAACUCUAAAACCCCAACAUGCAAUCUGAUAUCUUCGUUUAAUCCCUCUUCGAAUCUUUUACACAUAAUAGCCUCUGUGGGCACACAUUCCUGGGCGUAUUUGCUGAGCCUAACAAACUCCCGUUCAUAUUCUGCCACUGACCUUCGACCCUGUUUCAAUUCGAGAAACUCCUUGCGUUUCUGAUCAAUAAACCGCUGGCUUAUAUAUUUCUUUCUGAAUUCCUCCUGGAAGAAGUCCCAAGUAACUCUUUCUUUCGGAACCACCGAUAUUAAUGUUUUCCACCAACGGUAUGCUGAAUCCUUCAGUAAAGACACAUCACAUUUCAAACAUUCCUCAAGAGUACAGGAUAAUUCAUCAAAUACCCGGAUAGUAUUUUCAAGCCAAAACUCUGCUUUUUCCGGAUCAUCAUCAACAUUAGCCAUGAAAUCUUCAGCCUCAUGCUUUUGAAUUCUGUCAACUCGUGGUUUACUUGAUCUUACCAACCCAACACUUUGUGGAGCUACGGGGACCGGGUGGAGGAGGUGGAACAUUUAGAUUUGCACGAACAUAUUCUGUAUACCAAUCACUCAUCAUCCGAAGGAAGGCUUCUCGAGUCUCAUCCUAGCUAUGUGUCUCAUGUCUACUCUCUUCAUGCGCGGUCCCUUGUGCGGGAGCCGGCGUGUUACUUUUAACAUCAUCUUCCAUACUUCGGUCAGGAUUCAUUUACUAUAUAAAACAAAAUUUUAAAUUGUCAGAAAUCAUCACACUAUCACAAUAUAUUUAUGGCAUGUAUAGACUGACUUUCACACAUAUUUUAUUGGUCCGAGAACCGACUAAACCGUAGCUCUGAUACCAUUAAAAUGUAACACCCCUUACCCGUAUUCCUUAACGGAACAGAGUAUGAGGUAUUACUAUUUUUUUUUAAAUUUCGACAGCAUUUCUGCUUGUUUUUACAUACAACCCCCUGUAAGUUUUCAAUCACACUUUCAAACAGAUCCAAUAAUCCAACCAAAAAUAGUUGUAUGAUCAAACACAAUUUAUUUAAUAAUAAACACCAACAUUUUAAACCGAAACAUAUAUAUUAGUUUACGCCACGAUACAUAAAGUCGUCUAUACAUGCCAUGUUUCCAAAAUAUGAGUUGCAAAAUACCCAAGCGUUGAUGAUAGUGUGAAUGAUUAUCUGACUCCGCCCAAGUUCCAAGUUGAUUGAUGUCACUAUAAUCAAGGGGGCAAUAAAAAUGAGUAAGCAUAUAGCUUAGUAAGUAAACAUAUGACAAAUAAAUAAAUUCCUCACAUGAUUACAUAGUAACAUAAUUUUAUUCACACAUAAAUUUCAUUGUUUGUUCAAUUUCCAGCAAGCUGUUUUUCUGCGCCAUGGUCACUAAUUUAUUUUUAUCUGGGGCUACAGGGCUCCAAAUUGGAUUACGUAAAUUUUCCCUAAAACUAGACUCAUAUACCUUACCACCAUAAAAUUUUCAGAUUUUUUGGUCAGGCCAAUAAGUACAGUUUAUUCUUUAAACUUUCCUCUGUUUCACUGCCCGAUAGUCCUGACCUCCCCUUACUAAAAUUCACUUAACUCCCUGUAAAAAAUUAAAAAAAUGUUCUCAUUUAUUUCUAUUAAAAAUAGACUCAUUAAGUAAUCUAGGAAUAUAAAUUUCAAACAAUAAUUAUUUUUGUACAAUUUUUGGUGAUUUUCCAAAGUUGGAACAGGGGAUUUCGAAAUCCAUCCAGCCCUAUCUCAAAUAAAUUCAAAUAUCCCCAAAUAUACAACUUUUUUGUUUGCUCUGUUUCUUUCAUAUGAAAAUAGACUCACUCAGAUUUAAUUUCAUAUAUUAUUCAACCGUCAAUUCAUUUUCCAUCAUUUAUGGUGAUUUUUCAAAGUUUCCUAACUGUUGUUGUUCAAAACAGUGUUGUAUUUAAAUUGUCUCUUUUGUACUCUUGAUAUUUCCUCCCAUCUUACCCAUGGGUUGAUUAAUUAUCAAACCCAAUAUUCCUCCCAUAAACUUGUCCACCACAUAUAAAUAUUCACCUUCCCAAUUUACUCGUUGAACACUCGGAAUGUUAACCGUUAUCGGUGGAUUCAGCACUUAGCAACCACCAAUGAGUCGGGGAAUCAGCACUUAACAACCCCUUUCACAUUUAAGAUACGUGGGUUCAGCACUUAGCAACCACCAAUGAGUCGGGGAAUCACUAAUGAGUCGGGGAAUCAGCACUUAGGAACCCCUUUCACAUUUAAGAUACGGUGGGUUCAGCACUUAGCAACCACCAAUGAGUCGGGGAAUCAGCACUUAGCAACCCCUCGGGGGAAUCAGCACUUAGCAACCCCCUUCACAUUUAAGAUACGGUGGAAUCAGCACUUAGCAACCACCAAUGAAUAGGAGAAUCAGUACUUAGCAACCCCUUUUUUAUUCAAUGUAAUCUGGCCGAUUCCAAGUGUUCAACCAGAAACCGUGUUUUUUCAACACUUUACCACCUUUCCCUACUUAGCCACAUUUUUAGUAUCCUAGCCAAAUAUUUAUUCUAUGUUCAAAUAAAUCUCAACACAUAUCAAAUAAUAUCAAAAUAAUGCAUUAUUUCACAUGUUUACUUACCUCGAUGCAAAAUAUCGUAAUUUUGUAAUUUACUCCACUACUUUCUCUUUUCCUCGUUUGAGGUAGUCUUCUCGUCUUUCUUGAUCUAUAAUAGCAAAUUUAACUCAUUUAAUGUUCACAUUUAUUAAAAUAAUCCACCACCCAACUUUUUGAAAAAUUACAAUAUUGCCCCCAAACUUUUGCAUAAUUACACUUUUGUCCCCAAGCUCGGAAAUUAAACUUCAUCACUUGUUCUUAUGUUUUAUGACAUGCUGAACAUUUUUCCCUUCUAUGGCAACAUCAAAUUCUCACUCUAACACAUACUUUUGAACAUUAACUAUUUUUACCGAUUAUGUCAAUUUAUCCGUUUUCAUUUAAAAUCGCUUAGCAAAAGUUUUUUUAACAUAAGUUCUAGCUACAUAUUCCACCAUAAAAUAGCAAAACAAACACAUUUCACCUAUGGGUAUUUUUCCAAAUAUGAACCCUAGCACGAAUUAUUGCUAGAAUAAGCUAAAUUAAGCUACCGGGACUCCAAAAACGUAAAGAACAUUAAAAACGGGGCUUGGGAUCACUUACUAUGGAGCUUGGAAGCUUGAAAACCCUAACUAUGGCUUCCCCC